UCAGACCACGUGCUAACCAAUUAAUCAAGCUGCACCUGGUCUUAAAUUGACAGUAUAUCAGGGAGAGAGCAUGUGCUGCUCAGUUUAUCUGUUUUUCUACAGAAGGUACGUUUGUUUUAAAAGUGUCUGUGUGUUAAUUAUUUCUUCUUAGUUUGGAUUGUGGAUUUUUUGCUGAAGUGUUUAAUAUGUUCAUUUUGUUUGUUUUUUGUAAUGACCAAGUGUUCAAAGUGCCAACUCAUUUUAAGUGUUUUCUCUUUACUUGAAUUAGUUUUCUUAUUAUGGUAGUCUAUUGUUUGAUCUGUAAUACAAUUCUGGAUUUUAUUGGAAGGUAGGAUUUUGUGUGUUUUUGGAAAAGCAACGCACAAGAGUUUAGUAAUUCUGAUUCUAAUUCUGUUUGCAAAUUAUUUAAACAAAGUAAUUUAGUCUUCGUAGUCUACACUAUAUUUUCUUGAAAAUGGUCUCAUUAAUUGAUAGUUUAAUAAAGAGUUUAUUUAACUGUGAAAAUUAUUAUUUUUUUUUUGUGUGUGAAAUGUGUAAUUUGAAUAUAUGCUAAACAAUACUUUCUUCUUUUUAUGUGUGCUGGUGUAUUAACAAGAGUGAGUUGAGACAGUUGAGACUGCGAGCUGAGACUGCGAGCAGAGGUAAGGCAACUUUUGUAACCAUUAAAAACAAUUUAGAUCAUAGUGCUGAAGUAAGUGUUUAAUUGUAUAACAAAGCAUGGCUGACAAGUAUACCUUUUUUUUCUUUAAUGUGUGGUGGUGCACUGGUUAAAGACUGAGUUGUGUGAGUUGAGGUAAGGCAAUGUUUUGUAACCAUUUAAAAAAGAAUUUGGAAUGUACUGUGAAGUAAAUGUAUAACAAAGCAUGGCUGACAAGUAAACCUUUUUUCUUUUAUGCAUGGUCAUGCACUGG